rnacentral:rRNA from 1 species
CGGGGUGAGGUAAUGUCUGGGAAACUGCCUGAUGAGGGGGAGUAACUACUGGAAACGGUAGCUAAUACCGCAUAACGUCGCAAGACCAAAUGGGGGACCUUCGGGCCUCAUGCCAUCAGAUGUGCCCAGAUGGGGUUAGCUAGUAGGUGGGGUAACGGCUCACCUAGGCGACGAUCCCUAGCUGGUCUGAGAGGAUGACCAGCCACACUGGAACUGAGACACGGUCCAG